GGGGCUGACUGGUUUUGACAGCGGGUAGAAGAGAUAUGUAAGCAUGCCGGGCUUUGAUUGUUGGCCCGUAAAUCCUAAUAAUCACAUUUAUAAUUGGCGAAGAAAAUUACGCUCUUGCUGCGUAAGCGAAUUAAGUAGCUUACACUUUAUUCGGGCACCAGGUGCCAGAACGAGACAUCGCCCGGGUGCUAUUGCUUUGAAGCGGCCCGAUCAGGUGGUGCAAAUAAAUCGAGGCUAGUUGGAAUGUUGCUCUGCCAUUUCAGCGAAAUUAAAGAGAUAAGGUAAAUAUUGGUGGCCCUGAUCCGGUAUUUAUUCGAAAAUUAAAUCAGGGAUAAGCAUGUAGAAGGCAUAUUGCUUCCUCGUUUGGACGCGGGUUCGAUUCCCGCCAGCUCCACUA
rnacentral:tmRNA from 1 species